GGUUAAGCGACUAAGCGUACACGGUGGAUGCCCUGGCAGUCAGAGGCGAUGAAGGACGUGCUAAUCUGCGAUAAGCGUCGGUAAGGUGAUAUGAACCGUUAUAACCGGCGAUUUCCGAAUGGGGAAACCCAGUGUGUUUCGACACACUAUCAUUAACUGAAUCCAUAGGUUAAUGAGGCGAACCGGGGGAACUGAAACAUCUAAGUACCCCGAGGAAAAGAAAUCAACCGAGAUUCCCCCAGUAGCGGCGAGCGAACGGGGAGCAGCCCAGAGCCUGAAUCAGUGUGUGUGUUAGUGGAAGCGUCUGGAAAGGCGCGCGAUACAGGGUGACAGCCCCGUACACAAAAAUGCACAUGCUGUGAGCUCGAUGAGUAGGGCGGGACACGUGGUAUCCUGUCUGAAUAUGGGGGGACCAUCCUCCAAGGCUAAAUACUCCUGACUGACCGAUAGUGAACCAGUACCGUGAGGGAAAGGCGAAAAGAACCCCGGCGAGGGGAGUGAAAAAGAACCUGAAACCGUGUACGUACAAGCAGUGGGAGCACGCUUAGGCGUGUGACUGCGUACCUUUUGUAUAAUGGGUCAGCGACUUAUAUUCUGUAGCAAGGUUAACCGAAUAGGGGAGCCGAAGGGAAACCGAGUCUUAACUGGGCGUUAAGUUGCAGGGUAUAGACCCGAAACCCGGUGAUCUAGCCAUGGGCAGGUUGAAGGUUGGGUAACACUAACUGGAGGACCGAACCGACUAAUGUUGAAAAAUUAGCGGAUGACUUGUGGCUGGGGGUGAAAGGCCAAUCAAACCGGGAGAUAGCUGGUUCUCCCCGAAAGCUAUUUAGGUAGCGCCUCGUGAAUUCAUCUCCGGGGGUAGAGCACUGUUUCGGCAAGGGGGUCAUCCCGACUUACCAACCCGAUGCAAACUGCGAAUACCGGAGAAUGUUAUCACGGGAGACACACGGCGGGUGCUAACGUCCGUCGUGAAGAGGGAAACAACCCAGACCGCCAGCUAAGGUCCCAAAGUCAUGGUUAAGUGGGAAACGAUGUGGGAAGGCCCAGACAGCCAGGAUGUUGGCUUAGAAGCAGCCAUCAUUUAAAGAAAGCGUAAUAGCUCACUGGUCGAGUCGGCCUGCGCGGAAGAUGUAACGGGGCUAAACCAUGCACCGAAGCUGCGGCAGCGACACUAUGUGUUGUUGGGUAGGGGAGCGUUCUGUAAGCCUGUGAAGGUGUGCUGUGAGGCAUGCUGGAGGUAUCAGAAGUGCGAAUGCUGACAUAAGUAACGAUAAAGCGGGUGAAAAGCCCGCUCGCCGGAAGACCAAGGGUUCCUGUCCAACGUUAAUCGGGGCAGGGUGAGUCGACCCCUAAGGCGAGGCCGAAAGGCGUAGUCGAUGGGAAACAGGUUAAUAUUCCUGUACUUGGUGUUACUGCGAAGGGGGGACGGAGAAGGCUAUGUUGGCCGGGCGACGGUUGUCCCGGUUUAAGCGUGUAGGCUGGUUUUCCAGGCAAAUCCGGAAAAUCAAGGCUGAGGCGUGAUGACGAGGCACUACGGUGCUGAAGCAACAAAUGCCCUGCUUCCAGGAAAAGCCUCUAAGCAUCAGGUAA
rnacentral:rRNA from 1 species